rnacentral:RNase_P_RNA from 1 species
AACAAUGGAAUCCCAACAAUUAUCUCAAAAUUUACCCAUUUCUCAGUUUACAGAAGGAUCCCCACCUAUGGGCGGGUUAUCAGAUAUUAUCAGGUGGGAAAUUCGGUGGAACACAGUGGAGCCUUGUCCUCCGGGUUAAUGUCGCUUUUGGCAUUGAUCCCUGCUCCUGAGAGAAGAAAUACACUGGGGAACCAGUCUUUACCGACCGUUGUUAUCAGAAAUUCACGGAGUUCGGCCUAGGUUGGACUCCGAUGGGAACGGCAACGGUUGUUCCGUUUGACUUGUCGCCCGCUACGGCGUGAGCGUCAAGGUCUGUUGAGUGCAAUCGUAGGACGUCAUUUGUGGCGAACCCGAUACCGAUUACUGCUGCUGUU